rnacentral:rRNA from 1 species
UACGGGGGGGGCAAGCGUUGUUCGGAAUUACUGGGCGUAAAGGGCUCGUAGGCGGCCAACUAAGUCAUACGUGAAAUCCCUCGGCUUAACCGGGGAACUGCGUCUGAUACUGGAUGGCUUGAGUUCGGGAGAGGGAUGCGGAAUUCCAGGUGUAGCGGUGAAAUGCGUAGAUAUCUGAAGGAACAUCAGUGGCGAAAGCGACUUCCUGGACCAAUACUGACGCUCAUGUGCGAAAGCGUGGGGAGCAAACAGG